UACGUAGGGGGCGAGCGUUAUCCGGAUUCACUGGGUUUAAAGGGUGCGUAGGCGGGCAGGUAAGUCAGUGGUGAAAUCUCCGAGCUUAACUCGGAAACUGCCAUUGAUACUAUUUGUCUUGAAUAUUGUGGAGGUAAGCGGAAUAUGUCAUGUAGCGGUGAAAUGCUUAGAUAUGACAUAGAACACCAAUUGCGAAGGCAGCUUACUACACAAUGAUUGACGCUGAGGCACGAAAGCGUGGGGAUCAAACAGG
rnacentral:rRNA from 1 species